rnacentral:rRNA from 1 species
CGAGGGGGGCGAAAUGUUGUUCGGAAUCACUGGGCGUAAAGGGAGCGUAGGCGGGUUUCUAAGUCAGGUGUUUAAUCCCGGGGCCCAACCCCGGACAGGCACUUGAAACUGGGAAUCUUGAAUAGUGGAGAGGUCAGUGGAAUUGGGGGUGUAGCGGUGGAAUGCGUAGAGAUCCCCAAGAACACCAGUUGCGAAGGCGGCUGACUGGACACAUAUUGACGCUGAGGCUCGAAAGCAUGGGGAGCAAACAGGAUUAGAUACCCUGGUAGUCCAUGCCAUAAACGAUGAAUACUAGGUUUUGGGCCCGUCAACGGUCCAGAGCCGCAGCUAACGCGUUAAGUAUUCCGCCUGGGGAGUACGGUCGCAAGACUG